rnacentral:lncRNA from 1 species
ACAGAAGAUCUGUAUCAAGGAGGAGUCUCGACAUCAAGCUGCGAGGGAUCUCUGUGCAGCUGUGACCUCGACAGCCAUCCCUGCUCGAGGGCAGAUCCUGUUGUGCAGCGCGCUGCUGUGCAGGAGAGCUCGAGGGGUGCUUGGGCUGCUCCCUGUUUUGGGGCUCCAGUUCAACUUGGGCCUUCCAGGCGUGAUCAUCCCAGGCUGCAGGAGAGCAGCAAAUGGCCACAGCACAUCGAUGUCAGG